rnacentral:rRNA from 1 species
AGAGUUUGAUCCUGGCUCAGGAUGAACGCUAGCGGCAGGCUUAAUACAUGCAAGUCGAGGGGCAGCGGGAGUAGCAAUACUUGCCGGCGACCGGCGCACGGGUGCGUAACACGUAUACAAUCUGCCUCCAACAUGGGGAUAGCCCGGAGAAAUUCGGAUUAAUACCCAGUAACAAAUGAUAUGGCAUCAUAUUAUUUUGAAAGCUACGGCGGUUGGAGAUGAGUAUGCGUCUGAUUAGUUAGUUGGUGAGGUAACGGCUCACCAAGACCACGAUCAGUAGGGGAUCUGAGAGGACUCCCCCCCACACUGGUACUGAGACACGGACCACACUCCUACGGGAGGCAGCAGUAAGGAAUAUUGGACAAUGCCCGCAAGGGUGAUCCAGCCAUGCCGCGUGCAAGAAGACGGCCCUAUGGGUUGUAAACUGCUUUUGAACUAGAGAAAAUCCUUCUACGUGUAGAAAGGCUGAUAGUAUAGUUAGAAUAAGCAUCGGCUAACUUCGUGCCAGCAGCCGCGGUAAGACGAAGGAUGCAAGCGUUAUCCGGAUUCAUUGGGUUUAGAGGGUGCGUACGCGGCCAGAUA